rnacentral:rRNA from 1 species
UACGGGGGGAGCAAGCGUUGUUCGGAUUUACUGGGCGUAAAGGGCGCGUAGGCGGCCACUGCAAGUCGGUUGUGAAAUCUCCGGGCUUAACCCGGAAAGGUCAACCGAUACUGCAGGGCUAGAGUGCAGAAGGGGCAACUGGAAUUCGUCGGUGUAGCGGUGAAAUGCGUAGAUAUCGAGAGGAACACCUGCGGCGAAGGCGGGUUGCUGGGCUGACACUGACGCUGAUGCGCGAAAGCUAGGGGAGCGAACGGG